CGUCUUUUUCACUCUGUCAGGCCUGAGCUGCAAAGGGCUGGAAUCCUUUUAGCAUUUUAACUCUUCCUGGGCAAACAUCCUGUUCUGUCCCUGCCCUCCUGAAGUGCAGGAGCUCUUUUUUCAGGGGGGAAAAAGAUCCACAAACCCAGGGAACUAUUUGCACUUGUGUUUGGUGACAUCUGCUUGACUGCAACCACCACGGAAUGCAGAUCUACAGCCUUUUAACCCUAUUCUCCAGGGCAGCAAUUUUGUGCUCUAGUUCUUCCAGGCUCUUAUUUGUCACCUUUUUUCUUCCAAGGAGUAGGAGAUGUAGCUUCUCUCUUCAGAAAAGCUUUGGUUGCUUCCCCUGAGAGCACAGAUCAGGGCAGAGAUCCCCACAGGAUAACAUAAACCUUUCCCCAGGGCAAACAUCCUUGAACUAGUUUGAACUGAAAGCUCCCAGUUUCUCUGUGCCUUUGACUGGAAAAUGGAAAUAUUCCAGGGGCUGUGGCAUGAUUAAAGAUUGCCUUGUCCCCAGUGCCUGGUGCCAGGCUGCAGAAUCUCCUCCUCCCACUUCUGCUUGCACAGAUUGGGCCCAUAGGAGUGAAUGAAAACAGGGAAGAAACACAGACCUAGGGUAGAAAACAGAGAAAGAAGGACUUUUGGGGGGCUUUUCCAUUCUUUGCCCUACAGCUCUGAGCCACCAGUCAUCUGUGUCCCUUCCAGGCAGUGGACUCAAGAAGAUGUCUUGAUGUUUGCUCCAGUUUUAGUUCUGGUUUGGAGCUGGGUUCUGUUUCCAGAACAUCUGAGUCCAUUUGGAGAGUUCUUGCUGGACCCCUGGUCACUAAUCUCCCAGGUCUCCUCUCUGAAGAUUUUUGCUCUAGGUUCAGGUUGCUGCACUCACAGGGUUUAGCACCACCUGAGUCUUGUUACUAUUUUUUUAAGUCAGCUUCUGUGAGGUUUGGUUCUAUCUGUUUGUAAUCGCUGCCUUCCCCAGGCCCUGCAGUGCAGCAUUUCCAAGCUCAGUUUGCAAACAGACUCGGUGGGGCAGCAUUUCUGCUGGAUGAAUGUGCUGCAGAUCCCUCAUCCUUGCAGCUCAUCCGAGAGCUGGGCAAGAGGGAGCAAGAUCCUCUCCUCCUGCAGCUACAGAGCCCUCAGCAAACUCCACAACCACUGUAACCGAGUCCACAGCCUCCAGGGGAGGUGCUGAUGGUUUGUCACACACAGAACUGCAGACGUGGCAGAGCUGAGGUGCUGUUUCCAUUGCUUUAACUGCUGAGGGGACAGCUCAGGAGGCUGGGUAGAAAUAUCUCCUACCUGCAGCUUUGCAGAUCUCAGGAUAUCCAGCCCUGUCUUUCCCUGCUGCCUUCCCUCUUUGUUUUAGGGGGGUAAAAGCAGAUGAAGGCAGAGGGCCGGGCCCCCAGAGCUGCAAGGCAGCAGCCACACCUGCAGAGCUGUGUUCAGCUCCCCCUCGCCUGCUUUUUGGUGGGUUAGGAAGGAGUUAAACGACAGGAGAGGGAGAGGCUGUGCUAUUGUUCAGGCAUCCCUGGGUCCAGGGUGGCCGCUCUCUAUUCCCGGAUCUGCCUCUGGUUUCCUGCAUGACCUUGGACCGCUCACUUACCUUUUCUUUUCCUUAGCUCCCAAAUUACAGCAUGGAAAUCAUUCCCUUCCUGUGCUGCCUCGUUCCCUGCAGGUUUCAGAGGGGCUGAGAUUCUCUGGUGGGAGAGGGUGGGAGGAGGAAAGAACACAUCUCCACUGGAGGAAUGUUGAGGCAGGGUGUAGUGAUUUCAGGACGUGCUCUUGUUCACUCACCUACAGCUCGGGCUGUGAGAUUUGGGAUGGGGGUUUUUUAGCAGGCAAACCAGUGGUGAAAGUCAAAUUCCGUUUGUCGUGGCUGCAGCUGCCCCAGCGCGAUGCCAGCUGCACUGAGCCUUGUCCUCACUAGAUGGUGCUUGUGAUCCAAGAUUUGGGAUCGCCGGUUCUCUGCACAGAAGUCCCUAAUUUUCCUUCCCCCGUCUCCAUCCCUUUCCCUCUUCUUUCUGUGCUGUAACACUACGGGGGAGACUUCAUGAUGCCGGAUGUUGGUCUGGUGGCCCUGCAGGCUCCAGCCCCUCUGCCGGGCUCUGGGUUUUGGAGCCUGUCUCGGUGCUGCUGGGCUGUGGCAGGGAAUUGAAUUCUUGCCGUGUUUUCUAUUCCCAUAAGGAAAAGGCUUCAAAGAGCGGGUCCCCUCCCCCUCUCUGCUGGUGAAGGGCAUUUAGGGAAGCUGGGGAAAAAAACCCAAACAAUCCAGCCCUGACAGAUGCAUUUAUUGAACAAACCUCUGCCUUUCCCCACCUCAGCAGAAGAUUGGUGGAACUGCUGCUUUUACAUCCAUCUUUGUAUUCAGGAGCUGGUUACCUAGCCAAGGUCACGGCUGCUGCAUGCCAGUGGCAAGCAGCCUCCUCUUCCUUGAAUGAGCAUGGAAUUCAGUACAGCUUCCCCAGGUGAGGCACGGGAAUGGGCUGGAAUCUGCCAGCACAGGGUCCCGAGCUGCUGCUGGGCAGAGCGAGCCCCGGGGGCAGCCUUCCCUUUCACACCGGCUGCAGAGACUGAACGAGAUGGUAAUCAAACGUUUCCUGUGCAGACAUGCACGGGGAUGGGUUAUUGGCUGGUCCAGCAUGAGGCACAGCAGGGUGUGUGGGGCUGGGCUGUCACCACCUCUCACAGCCUGCGCAGGGCACCCCAAGACCACAGCCAUCCCUGCUGCCCCAGCACCCCAGGAGCACAGCCAGACCACAGCCAUCCCUGCUGCCCCUUCCCAGCCCACCCCGAGACUCUGGCCUGCAGCCAUGGUGUUGGGUCAUAGGCUGGGCUUUAUGAUCUUAAAGGUCUUGUCCAGCCUUGGUGAUUCUGUGAUCCUGUGUUUGGGCACCUGGGUGGGCUGGCAGGGCUACCAGUGCCCACCCCUCCAUGCCAGGCUGCCAGGUUACAUCACCUCCAGCUCCCUCCCCAUGGAAUUUUACAGCCAUGAAUGAAUGGGGCUGGGUUGCCCCCGUGAUACCCAUCAGCUGUGCUCAGAUUUGUAGUCUGAGAGGUGAUGCUCCUGCCUCUGGCUCUGCAGAGGUGCCAGCAACUCCCUGUGUGUGCUGACAAGCCCCAGGAGGGUGCCCACAGCAGCCCUGUCCUCACAUGCCAGGUCAGUGAUGUCCCCACAGCAGGGACAUGAGCUGCAGGGUGACACAAACCUCUCAGCACUGGGAGCUGACAGUGAUUUCUUUGUCAUUCCCCUGUUGUCAUUUUCUCACCCCACACACAUUUGUUCAUGGUUAGGCAGAUAUUGCUGAUGACUAAACCCUGGGUCUGCAUCCCAGAGAAAACCUUCUGAGGAGCAGCCCAGAACUGCAGGGCUCAAACUCUAAGGAGACUGAGGAGUGAGGACAGUGCAUUUCCUCACAUUCAUCAGAUCCAGGGAGAAAACCACUCUCCCAGCCCCUCCUGGCUGAGAGGGAAUUGCAUCACUGGCUCAUGCAGAUAGGUAUUUUUUUUUUCCCCCCCUUGAAAUCUGCUCCUUUUAUUCUCUUUCCCCGAUGGAAUUUGCCAGCGUGUCCCAAACAAUGUGGUUCUGCAAUUGAAAGCAACAUACCUGUGUGGGGGAGAGAAUGACUGGUUUUCAGUUUGCAAUCUGGCUCUUCCCUCCCUCCUUCCUUUUCCCCACAUCCCCAUGUGUUACAGAGCCAGCUGCUCCCGGAAUAGUUUGGGAAUGAAAUGUCACCGUUUGAAACUGCUGGAUCCCAGUGCCUCCUCAGACAGGACUAGGUUGGAUCAGUCUGACAACACACACACCUACAGUGACUCUCUUAAUUAAGUCUCCCUGCACUGCUGUGAGGUAUGUAAUUACAGUGAGACAUGACUUAAGCAACCACUUGAGGGACUAAGGAAAAAAAUCAUUCUUUACCAGAGCAGGGAGGAACAGAAUUUCACUGAAUACAUUUUAUGUAUAUAUUUUUUUUUGCGGGGGAAGUUUAUUAAACAAAGGGGGCUAAUGAUGCUUGUUUCUCUUUGGUGUAUCCCCAUAUUGGCAUGAUGGUUUUACUAUACUGUGUUAACAUCAUCAGGGUUUGUUUUUUUUAUUCCUGCCAAACUGAUACUUGAAUUCUUUUGUCUUUUAACAGAGAUUUGCUAUAAAAAAAGAAGUGUCAAUUGGUGCAAACGCUGGCACUGGGCUUGCGAAAUGAGCUAUUGUUUAUCAGAAGCUGGGUGGUUGUCCCUCCCUGCCCAACCCCAGCCCAGUGGUAAAAAUAUUUAGUCAAAGGGCAACAUUCAGAAUUCCUGCUCCAAGGUAUUAUAACCACCCAUUUUUAUGACUCCACAUGGCUGCUCUGUCUAGUAGGUACCAGGGUAUGAAAGUACCACAGUAGUUGUGAUACUAACGGUGUCUCCCAAAGAGCUCCAGCAGUUCCAUGUGGACUGGUUUCCCGUUUCCCUGGCCCAGCCUGCUGUCAGAGGACCCUGCCUGGUGCUGGAGGUGAGGGGCUGGACUGUGCAUCACCACUCACAGCCCAGAGUACUCAUCAAAGCUGCCAGCAAUUCCAGGUUGCAUUGCUAUUGUUCCAAGCACUGAUCUGUGGUGGCCACGGAGAAGAUCUGCCAGCCAUGCUCCAGCCUCUGCUUCAACAGUAAUGAUCUCCAACUGAAGGACAGGAAGAAGCUGGAAAUAGUAAUGUCAUAAAUAGUCCCAGAAUGGGCUGGCAGCCCUUCCCUCCAGUCCCACCUUCAGUGGCAUUCCCAAUACUCCCAAAUUGCAAGUCAAGCUUGCAGCCAGCUUGGUGGGGAUUUUGCAAGCACAGGCCCUAGGGGAUUUGAUGCCAUCUCUCUAUUUUAUUUGGUAGGCUGAGCUAGUAGCAAGAUUUUAUGAAGUGUGCAUUUCUAUCUCGAAUUUUACGUGGUGUUAAAUACAACCCCUCAUUCUCUAUUGUCACUGGAUUUGACAACAAUAAUCUCUGGCUGCAGAAAUUUGCUGCAGAGCCUGAGAUCUUGUUUAAUACAAAAUAAAACAACCUCAGAGACAACCCUGAGAAGUCAAAUCUGACUGACAAUUCCACAUGCCUUUUCCUCAGCAGCAAAGCCCCCCUCUUAACUUUUUGUGUAUCAUUGUUGCCCUUUUUUCUUCACUCAGACUGUUUCAGUGAUCUGGGGUCUGCACUGCAGGUCUGCAAAGAGUUGAACCAGCAACACUGCAGGAGCUGGAAGUUGUGGCAGCAACGUAGGAGUGAGCCAAGGAACUGGGUAAGAAAAGGAUAACCCUCUGGGUACCUUCUGUGCUGUCAAGUUUGAACUUUCAGCUAUUCCAGAGCGGUAACUCUAAGAGCUCUGAAUGCCAGUGGAUGGUCAGUUCUGAAGCAUAAGAACAGUAUUUUAGUGAUAUUGUGUUCUUAAGCCUCUGUUUCUUCUAGCACAGGUGUCUGCCUAGUAUGUUUACAUCCCCAAAUCCCUAAUGGGGAUUCCCUUUGGCUUGCAGUUGCCUGCAGAGAACUCCCAGAUCAUGCUGGCCAUGAUCAGGAUAAAUACUUCCUAUUGAAAAGUAGCUUUUUUCUUAGAAUGGGGUUAGUGUCAGUUCAAACUGAGUAACAAAAGAUGAAUUUACUGAGUAUAUGGAGUACUGGGUUCAGUAAGCCUUUGAAGUUUCAAAGAUAAGCAAUUAUUUGUUUCAAACUUAAUGGAUUUUUACCCAAAACAAAGAAUUUUGCCUCAUCACCUAAGUGGGGUUUCCCAGGGUGCCUGAGACCACACAUCCUCAGCCUCUUAGACCCUGGCUAAAACUGCCAAAGUGUGGGAGCCUUCCUGACAUGAACAAGCAUUCCAGUGAAUUCUGAAAGGCCAAGAUUACUACUGAUUUGUUUUGGAGGAAAAAAUAAAUAAAAAGGACAAGCAAAAUGAGGUUGAACACUCGUUAGUGAAGCAUUGUCAGAACACAAUGGCAGAACAGACAAAAGCCAGUUCAGAUUCUGUGGUAUUUCCUACAGGGCUCCCUCUUGCACAUGGCUGUUCCCUGCCAAUCCUGGUGUAUUGUUUUUGAUAAUGAAUAGAAGCUGAACAGAUGAUUGUU